rnacentral:rRNA from 1 species
UACAGAGGGUGCGAGCGUUGUCCGGAAUCACUGGGCGUAAAGGGCGCGUAGGUGGCGGGCCAAGUCCAUGGUGAAAGCUCGAUGCUCAACAUCGAGUCGGCCACGGAUACUGGUUCGCUGGAGCACUGUAGAGGCAGAUGGAAUUCCGGGUGUAGCGGUGGAAUGCGUAGAGAUCCGGAAGAACACCGGUGGCGAAGGCGGUCUGCUGGGCAGUUGCUGACACUGAGGCGCGACAGCGUGGGGAGCAAACAGG